GUUUCCUGUUGAGCACCAGGUUUUACUGGGGAAAGGAGAGAAAAAACGGCUUCAGAACUGUGGCAGCAGAAGCAGGGACACAAGCGGUCCAGACAGGAUCCAUCCCUCCAGCCACUGCAGUAAAACUGCUCUUUUAGUCACCACUCAACACAUGUUACCGGAGAUUUGAUGCUUUAAUUUGAGUGACCGGGAUUUGGUCACAAAGCUGUUUCUGAAGGAAGAAAAGCAAAGAUCUGGGAGCCUGACCACCAACUGUUUUACCUCCCAUAAGAGCUGGAAGGAGUGCUCCUGGUCUUGGAUUCUGUGGUCCCUUGAGAAUCUGAAGAGAUGGCUGCAGCAGCAGUGGCUGGACUGAUCCCUGUGCUACACUCAGUGGCUGGUGACAAGUCUAGUUACUACACUGGGCGACAGCUUGGUUUGGCUUCAUCGCUGUGUAUGGAAUGGUGGUGUAUGUGGUCCACAUGCCCUGGGUUCCCAUCCACGAAGAUUUCUGGUGCCAUGGCAACAUUACCAAUACUUGUUUGAUUGAGUGUUUUGAAAAAAGUUUUAGCUGUCCUGUAGUGGGAAUUUGGUACUUUUUUUUCUUUAUUUUCUUGACCUUCUUUUUCCUCAUGGAAUUCUUCAUGGCUCAGAUUCAGCACAAGCAGAUCAAAGCCAAGUCAGUGGAGCCAGUGGCAGGUGAAGUGGAGGAAGGCUCCUUGGUGGGAAUCCAGGAGCACAUCCCUUCCCCGAAGAAGUCCAUCCUGAGCUUCCACCAGGAGAAGAUGCUUUUGCUUUUGUAUCUCCUUUACUUCCUCCUUCAGGUUGGCGCACAGUGUGUGUUUUUAUUUUUUCUCAUGUAUCAACACCUGCCCCUGGUGAGCAAAGCCAUCAUUCACUGCAGCACCAAGAGCUGUCCUGGACUCUAUAUCUGCCUGAUCAGGGGGACCAUGGAGAAGCGAAUGUCCAUCUAUACUCUCAUGACCUUGUCCUGCAUGAUCAUCCUUUUCUGUUCAGGCUUCUUCAUGUACCGCAUCCACCAUUACCUGUUAAAAGGGCUUGCCAGUGCUAAGUUUUGGCUUGACUAAUGUUUGAAGUUCUUGUUGAGUCUUUCCUCCCUUACACUAGGAUGUUUGUGCUCCUUUAAAUAUUGUGUCUGGGGCAGAACUUCUUCCUGCUAUUUCUUUGCUUUCGUCCUUCAUAAAAUAAACAUUUGUUGUUCUUGUGUCCUCCUUCUA